rnacentral:rRNA from 1 species
UAAGACGAACCGUGCGAACGUUAUUCGGAUUCACUGGGCUUAAAGGGCGCGUAGGCGGCUCCGCGAGUCGGGGGUGAAAUCUUUCGGCCCAACCGGAAGAGGGCCUCCGAGACCGCGGGACUCGAGGGGGAUAGGGGUGCGCGGAACUUCCGGUGGAGCGGUGAAAUGCGUAGAUAUCGGAAGGAACGCCGGUGGCGAAAGCGGCGCACUGGAUCCCUACUGACGCUGAGGCGCGAAAGCCAGGGGAGCGAACGGGAUUAGAUACCCCGGUAGUCCUGGCCCUAAACGAUGAGGACUAGGUAGUGGGCUUGCAUGGGCUCACUGCCGGAGCGAAAGUCUUAAGUCCUCCGCCUGGGGAGUAUGGUCGCAAGGCUG